rnacentral:rRNA from 1 species
ACUCGCGAUGCAUCUAGAUUAGACUUUGAUCCUGGCUCAGAUUGAACGCUAGCGGGAUGCUUUACACAUGCAAGUCGAACGGCAGCGCGGACUUCGGUCUGGCGGCGAGUGGCGAACGGGUGAGUAAUGUAUCGGAACGUGCCCAGUAGCGGGGGAUAACUACGCGAAAGCGUAGCUAAUACCGCAUACGCCCUUUGGGGGAAAGCGGGGGACCUUCGGGCCUCGCACUAUUGGAGCGGCCGAUAUCGGAUUAGCUAGUUGGUGGGGUAAAGGCCUACCAAGGCGACGAUCCGUAGCUGGUUUGAGAGGACGACCAGCCACACUGGGACUGAGACACGGCCCAGACUCCUACGGGAGGCAGCAGUGGGGAAUUUUGGACAAUGGGGGCAACCCUGAUCCAGCCAUCCCGCGUGUGCGAUGAAGGCCUUCGGGUUGUAAAGCACUUUUGGCAGGAAAGAAACGGCCCUGGUUAAUACCUGGGGCAACUGACGGUACCUGCAGAAUAAGCACCGGCUAACUACGUGCCAGCAGCCGCGGUAAUACGUAGGGUGCAAGCGUUAAUCGGAAUUACUGGGCGUAAAGCGUGCGCAGGCGGUUCGGAAAGAAAGAUGUGAAAUCCCAGGGCUUAACCUUGCAACUGCAUUUUUAACUACCGGGCUAGAGUGUGUCCCACGGAGGUGGAAUUCCGCUUGUAGCAUUCCAAUGCGUAGAUCUGCGGACGAACCCCCGAUGCUAUACCCCAGCCUCUACGGAGAUACUACACGGUUAUCUUUUACAUCGUUCGUUCCAAACUUUAUUUUCCUACCCUUCCCCUCCUUCCCCUCUACGACGUCUCCUAACGGGUUGCUCUCUCGUUCGUCCUACCUCAUAUUUACCCCUUU